UAGGGAUUUGGGUCUGAAACUGUUCAAUCUAGCCUGCGAAACUAAUUUAAUGUCCUGUCAAACAACACAACGAUGAAGCUGCCACAGGAAGUUGACUGUCCAGUCGUUGGUUGGUUGCCUCCGGUGCUCAUUCGAUUGUCCCUGGGACGAAGCCAGGACGUAGCCACAAAACUAAGCAGAAACUGCAGUAGUUUCUCCAACGAAAUAUCGAUGGUCGUUAAAAGAGGACAAUGGCAGUCUCCUGGCGGGAUACGAAACACAGUGGGAAUGUAGAAAAACAUUGACAAAAAACUCGGAGCAAUCUUUCGGACUGUUCUCUAAUUUUUCACAGUCUCCAACCACAAUCUUGCCAUUUAUUCAGAAGAACCAGAGGUGCUAUACGAGCAAGCUCCCAUAUAACGGACUUCCUUUUGUGGGACCCCAGAUGUGAUAAUAAAAUGUGUAUAAAAGCAUACAGUACGAGACACAGACAUAAAUGAAAUCAGAGAAUAAUAGAAGGCAGCAAUGCAAUAGGCAGGCAACAUGAGCAUACAAGAAUGGACAAUGAAUGGGACUACGGAAGAGAGGGAACCCAAUAGAGAUACUCCAUCAUGGCAAGCAGGUCCCAAAUGACUCAUGCGUUCCACACAACGUAUACGCACGGUGCACUCAGAAAAAUGAUUAACAGUUACGUUUGUGUGUGUUUCUAUUGCAUAUGGAAUGAAAUAAAUUUUAAGAAUU
rnacentral:misc_RNA from 1 species